GUGCUGUGAACCAGAGAAGUAUAAUAAGUGUGUGUGUAUGAAAUCAGAUCGUAUGGUGACACUUCCUCCUGCUGGAUACCUUACCAUGGCUAAUUCCAUAAAGACAAUGGGGCUAUUAAAUAACAUACUUCAGAAGGAGCCCCAGUACAGUUUCCUCCAGGGCACCACAUAGUGUAACAACAGAAGCUCAGAUCUGCAAAGUCAUUCUACCAAAAACACAACGUACUUCAGCA